UGGCACGUUUGUGGUUUUGGAAACUCUGCCUA
rnacentral:piRNA from 1 species